rnacentral:snRNA from 1 species
AUUCCUGAGGACAAUCAAAGAAACGAAUGAAAGCAUCUGUUCUUAUCAGUUUAAUAUCUGAUACGUGGGCCAUCGGCCCAUAUGAUAUUAAAUUAAUUUCUUUUUAGGGGGAAAGUCCAUUACAGUAGCUUGCUACUGGGGUUUUCGUGCGUGGCCCAUGCGUUGCACUAUCGCACCACGCUAAAUCG